AACAAAACCUAAAACAAAACCUGGCCGUCCCUACUCUAAUAUGUUUCAUUCUCUUAACUAUUCCACAAUCAGGAAAAAAGAAAAGAGCGAGAGAGAAAAGAUGAUGAAAACGUCAAUGGCUUCCCUAAGGUCAUUCUCCGCGAGGUUCGUGGUUGCUCCGCUGAGUUUCCUUGCCACCGUCAAAUUCAAAGAAUCUGCAACUGAAGCCAACCUUCUCUGAAGAGCAAAAUCCUAACCCCGGGUACCAUCAGUUGGUAUUCCAGCACCAAAAAGGGCUCAACCUCUUGGUACCAUCUCUACUGCUCCUUGGGGUUCUGCACUUAUUUUGCCAAUUUCAUAUUCAUACAUAGCCAUGAGUUUUAAGGGACUCACUGAAGCCUCAAAGAUAGGAACCUUGAAUGCAAACUACAUGGCAAAACGUUUGGAGCAUGAAAUAGAAGUUCAUUGUUUUCUUAGUAUAAUAUAAUGAUGUGAACAUUACAGAGCCACUACCCCAUUCUUUUUCGAGGAGUCAAUGGAACAGUCGCCAAUGAAUUUCAAGGGUAUACUGUUGGCUAUGUGAAUAUUAAAGCAAAAAUGUUGUUUAUACUUUGCAAGUUGAACUUAGACAUUGAUGCUCAAGGUCUAUUGUUCAGUUAAGGUUUGUCGGAACCGCAGGCAAAGAGAGAUAGGCCGUAUCCCCGUAACCGGUAAAGUAUUUGCUUUUUUUGUUUUGGUUUUAUUGUGGUAGAACUCGAACACUUUAGUGGCUUUAAAUUUUAAGAUAUUUCAUACUUAAUUCCAUCUGCCUUGAUACUAUAAAUAAAUUACCACUUAUCUAAAAAUUCUAAAUUGUUAGAAACUAAUAAAUUUAAUCAUUCAAUCAAAAUUCUUAAUUGCUCUUUCGGAAAUCCUAUUGCAAGGAGGGGGGAGAAUAUUGUCCAAAGAAUGAUGGAAAACUAGCAGUUUAUUCACGUGAUUUCAAAUCAAUAUCUAAUCUAAUACUAUAUAUGUUAAAACAGAAGCUAAGAGAAAGUAAGGACCUACAAUUAAGGAUGUUGGGAAAGGUAGAGAUAGAGUUAUUUUCUAUAUUUUGCUCCCAUGUCUUGCUGCUUGCUUUGUUGUAUAUGUUCUUCCCGUUGGUUGUGCAGGGUGAAUGGGAAAAGGAGCUAUCUUUGCUGGGUUUCUUGGUUCAAUAAGAAAAAGGAGGAAGCUUUAUACAUUUUUGGUCGUGCUUUCCUUGGGUUUCUUUGAGAGGUUGGUCAGACUAUUAUGGAGAGUUGUUGGUGGUCUUUUUGGGUUAGGAAAGGAUUCUGUUUAUGGAGUUAUGGAGGGCUGGAAUAGUGGUACUUUUUGUAUUUGUUAUGUUACUUUUUUUCUUUUCUAUCUCAUUUGUCUAUAUUGAAUUGUGCUUAAGAACAGCCAAUGCUAUUGCCCAUUGUACCUAGAUAUAUAAAUUACUUUGUUAUAUACUACAGAAUAUGAGUAGCAAGAUAGAGUUACAAAAAAUUGCCCCCUUUUGUAAAAUAUGUUACAAUCUAAUUUUAUAAAGAACAUUUUUCUACCA